CCUACGAGUGGCUGCAGUGGGGAAUAUUGGACAAUGGGCGAAAGCCUGAUCCAGCCAUGCCGCGUGUGUGAAGAAGGCCUUCGGGUUGUAAAGCACUUUCAGUGGGGAAGAAAGCCUUGGGGCUAAUACCCUCGAGGAAGGACAUCACCCACAGAAGAAGCACCGGCUAACUCCGUGCCAGCAGCCGCGGUAAUACGGAGGGUGCGAGCGUUAAUCGGAAUUACUGGGCGUAAAGCGCGCGUAGGCGGUCUGAUAAGCCGGUUGUGAAAGCCCCGGGCUCAACCUGGGAACGGCAUCCGGAACUGUCAGGCUAGAGUGCAGGAGAGGAAGGUAGAAUUCCCGGUGUAGCGGUGAAAUGCGUAGAGAUCGGGAGGAAUACCAGUGGCGAAGGCGGCCUUCUGGACUGACACUGACGCUGAGGUGCGAAAGCGUGGGUAGCAAACAGGAUUAGAUACCCUGGUAGUC
rnacentral:rRNA from 1 species